AUGGUAUUUUUAGUAAAAAAUUUUAUAAGGAUUUUUUGAAAAAAUAAUGACAAAAUUGAUAGUUUUUCGUAACUUCAAAUGUUAUAACUUUUCCAAUUCUUAUCAAAAUGUAUACAAUUAGGUAUAAAAACAAAGAUAUGAAAAAGACAAGGCACCUACAACACCCAGCUUCAGUUAUCAAACGUUGGUGGUAAUUUUAGUUAUGCCACUGUGAAAGCGUCGAUUGUUAAGUAGGCAUAAAAAGUUUGAAGUAUGCACAAAGCCUGAAAGUGUCAAAUAUGGAACCUAAAAAAACCUGCCUUUGCCACUGACUGUAUAAAGGUUUUUUAAGGUCUGUUUGUUAAGCGUCAAGUCAGGUUAUCUUGCUACUGAUACCAUGUAGUACAUCCUGCCUAAGCAGGUUGUACGCCAUCCAUACGACGUUUGGGCAUCUGUUUGUAAAAUAUUGCUGCAAAUCUUUUUGAGAGAGCCAUUACUAUGGAGAACCAUCUAAACCAUACAAGUGAGGAAACAUGGAUAUUAAUGUGAAAUAAACUGAUGAGUUUAUUUAACUUAGCUGGUAAAAAAAAGAGUUUUCGUGAAACAAAUUUAAUGAAGACAAUUAUAGGUAUACCUGUUAAUGUAAUAUAUUUUGUAUUGUAUUUUGUAUGCUUAGUUUUGACGAAUUUUUAAAUACUGCAAACUCACACUCGCACUAAAAUCAACUGUGAACUCUUAUAUAAUCAGUUGCAAAAGUUGACUUUGAAAAUUUUGUAUAAGAUAUUAUAGCUUAUUUAUUAGACUGUUUUUAGAAUGAAGUUCAUUCAUAUGCUAGCAACAUUUUUAAACGUGGUCCAGAUCAACAAAAAUUUGGUGCUAGAAAUUGUCGAUAGUGGAAGUGAUAGAUGUAUCGAACCUAAUUUGUAAUUAAUUUCUGUAAAUAAAUUUCACUUUACUAA
rnacentral:lncRNA from 1 species